rnacentral:rRNA from 1 species
AUUGAACGCUGGCGGUAUGCCUUACACAUGCAAGUCGAACGGCAGCACGAAAGAGCUUGCCCUUUUGGUGGCGAGUGGCGAACGGGUGAGUAAUGCACCGGAACGUCCCGAGUUAUGGGGGAUAACUGUUCGAAAGGCUAGCUAAUACCGCAUAUGCUUCGAGCAGGUAAGUGGGGGGUCUUCGGGCCCCACGUUCUUUGAGCGGCCGAUGUCUGAUUAGCUAGUUGGUGGGGUAAAGGCCUACCAAGGCGACGAUCAGUAGCGGGUCUGAGAGGAUGAUCCGCCACACUGGGACUGAGACACGGCCCAGACUCCUACGGGAGGCAGCAGUGGGGAAUUUUGGACAAUGGGCGCAAGCCUGAUCCAGCCAUGCCGCGUGUCUGAAGAAGGCCUUCGGGUUGUAAAGGACUUUUGUUAGGGAAGAAAAGGAUAGUGUUAAUACCAUUAUCUGCUGACGGUACCUAAAGAAUAAGCACCGGCUAACUACGUG